rnacentral:sRNA from 1 species
AACAAAUUUUAACUAGGUAAGAACCGACCGUAUCAUACAUUGAAUCAUUGAUACACAGUAAAUUUAAACUAGGUAAGUCUGUUAUUUAAUUUUAUGAUUGUAUGAUCUA